rnacentral:sRNA from 1 species
UGUGUCGACGGACAGACACACCCUUCAAGGACGAAGGGAAGGGACAUCGCAGGAAGCGAUUCAUCAGGACGAUGAAAAGGAACACAGGGAAUAGGGAAAAAAAUGCGGGCGGGUCAAACCGCCCCUUUUUUU